rnacentral:lncRNA from 1 species
GGUAAAUAACCAUAACAAUUUCUCAUAGUUCCAACGACUUCUUACAGAUGUGCAGGAUGCCUCACAUCAAACCUUUCUCUCUGCUUUACAGGGCCUGUGUGGCUGUGCCACCAGCAAUCUUUCAACACUGAAAAGGACAAAGAAAAUCCAUUACUCUGUUACAAGAAGAAAGAAUUUCUAUGGCAAAAAGGAUGAUGAGAAGAAUGGCUAAUGGGUUUACAGGAACUCUUAACACAAAGCUGGGUGUUCAGAUACCAAGAGUUUGUAAAAAAAAAAAGAAAAAAAUACGCAAUCCAAGGCAAGCAGUCAAGGACCACAAGACAAUGUGUGUAUGAAGUGUCAGGCCACCACAAUAACAUGCACUGUUUGUGAAAUGGGAAUAAAUCCCAUCUGAGUCUAAGGACUGUGGACAGAUACCAUGUCUGUCCACAUAACUUGUUUCAGACUCUUCCCCUGCUCACUUCCUUCUGAGUGGCCUCUCCCGUGCAAGUGUGGAGGCUAAAGAAGAAUCAACUCUCCAAGCAACCUCGAUGAGAGAAACGAGCUUUGGAUACUUCGAAAGCCUCCAUGCCGUGGACCAGGAAGAUGACCUGCUUGCCACCCUUUCCCCUGUGUUUAUACAUUCCAGAGUUCUGCUCUUAAGUAUACUUUGAAAACUCCCUUGGAAGAAACCAAAUAUGCCUUGUUCCAGGGUUGCUUUGAAUGUUUUCAGCUUGUAGUCAUGGUUGACAUAACCUAAUUCAAAACAUAUUGGAAGCACAAUGGCACCAAACCUGGGUCGGGAGCCUCAAUGUUUCUCUUGAAUGGGUUCACUUGUUUUCUCUUUUGCUGUAAUUUUUUUU